rnacentral:lncRNA from 1 species
CUGGAGUUGGGUAUUUCCCUUCUCCCAGUUCAGUUAGGCUCUGAUAAUACCUCAGCAGGUUAGGUUCUGGUUAACUAGUUUCUCCUGAGGGCAGGCCUUGUUAAGAAGAACAGAAUGCUCUAGCGUAUUUCAAAAUGGUUCCUUUCGCCUCCUCCUGCCAGAAGCACAGAGGGAUUUGUCUCUGAUAUUCACCGUGAGAACAUGGCCAAAAUCCUGCAGUGAGAGUGAUAGCUUCAGCCAUGGCAGCCACUUCAAGGUCAAGAAUGAGAGAAGCCUCAGUCCUGAUAUCCCUGAGUUGCUGGACCAAGUGCCAAUAACUCUCAAUCUCCAGAUUUCUUGUUUUAUGAGAAAAAAUAAAUGCUUGAUUUGUU